CAGAAGGUGUCUGGUUAGGGAGGAGUGAGGCAAAACCAAUAAUAGAUAUAAAAGAUAAAGACACAAUGUCAAUCCUGGGCAUAAAGUUCAGUAGGAACGAUUGUUAUGGAGAAAACUGGAAUGAAAAAGAUAAAGAAAUUAAAGAAGAACUGGAUAAAUGGGAAAAUAAAUCAUGUAGCUAUAGGGCCAGGAUAUUAAUCAUAAAAACAUGUGUUGUGUAAAAGCUGCUGUUCUCGGCAACCAUUUUUCCUCCUAAGGACCAGACACUUAAAAAGAUAAAUAAAAUGCUUGUUGACUUCAUUUGGGGAACCACAAGGGAGGUUACAAAGAGAGAACUUUUAUAUAAAAACAAAAAGAACGGGGGGCUCGGAGCUGUGGACCUGGGGCUAAAAUUAAGAAUUGCAUUUUGUAAAAACAUUGCAUCUGGUUUUAAAAGAAAGGCUGUUUGGAUAGGUGAGGCCUUGAGCUGGACCAAAAAGCGGGGUCGCGCUAGAAGUUCACUGCCUUAUUUUAAAGUAAUGUAUGGUGAUAUUAUAGAGAAAUCUGUACAUCUGAAUAUUGAAUGGCCUGGAACGCCCAGUAAAAAUAUAUAUAUUAUUGUGUGUAAUGACUUGUAUGGUGACAUUUUCCCCUAUAAAUAUCUAGAUGAUACUGAAAAGCAGGUGUGUCUGAAAAACAUACGGAGCAAAACUAUAUCUGAAAAAAAGAGAGACGUAAUGUGGCUGGUCUCAGUCAGGAGACUAGCAGUUAGAGCAGUGGUGAAGUGGAGCUGUUUCGUUAAAACUGUUAAAUGUCCAAUUCAUAAUUGUGAUGAAGAUGAAUCAGUUGAGCACCUGCUUGUAGACUGCCGCAGAUCACAGUAUGUCUUAUACUAUGUCUGGGGGAAAAUGUCACAGAUUGGUUUUAACGUUAAUGUCACAUAUAAAGCUGCUAUGUAUGGAGUUUUCGAGGAACGCAUGUCUGCCAUGGAUCAGGCCUUUUAUUGGUCCGUGGUGUGCGUGCGCCGUCAUUAACAAGCUG
rnacentral:lncRNA from 1 species